CUCAGGACGAACGCUGGCGGCGUGCCUAACACAUGCAAGUCGAGGGGCAGCGGGGAGGAAGCUUGCUUCUCCGCCGGCGACCGGCGCACGGGUGAGUAACACGUAUGCAACCUGCCCCUGUCAGGGGGACAACCCGCCGAGAGGCGGGCUAAACCCACGUACAUGCCACCGGGGCAUCCCGGAGGCAGGAAAGGCUUCGGCCGGACAGGGAUGGGCAUGCGGCGCAUUAGGCAGUAGGCGGGGUAACGGCCCACCUAACCGACGAUGCGUAGGGGUUCUGAGAGGAAGGUCCCCCACACUGGUACUGAGACACGGACCAGACUCCUACGGGAGGCAGCAGUGAGGAAUAUUGGUCAAUGGUCGGGAGACUGAACCAGCCAAGCCGCGUGAGGGAGGAAGGUACAGAGUAUCGUAAACCUCUUUUGUCAGGGAACAAAGGCGGGGACGUGUCCCCGGAUGAGUGUACCUGAAGAAAAAGCAUCGGCUAACUCCGUGCCAGCAGCCGCGGUAAUACGGAGGAUGCGAGCGUUAUCCGGAUUUAUUGGGUUUAAAGGGUGCGCAGGCGGUCUGUUAAGUCAGCGGUCAAAGCCCGGGGCUCAACCCCGGCCCGCCGUUGAAACUGGCAGUCUCGAGUUGGAGAGAAGUAUGCGGAAUGCGCGGUGUAGCGGUGAAAUGCAUAGAUAUCGCGCAGAACUCCGAUUGCGAAGGCAGCAUGCCGGCUCCACACUGACGCUGAGGCACGAAAGCGUGGGUAUCGAACAGGAUUAGAUACCCUGGUAGUCCACGCAGUAAACGAUGAAUGCUGGCUGUCCGGGGGGAUUGACCCCUGGGUGGCGAAGCGAAAGCGAUAAGCAUUCCACCUGGGGAGUACGCCGGCAACGGUGAAACUCAAAGGAAUUGACGGGGGCCCGCACAAGCGGAGGAACAUGUGGUUUAAUUCGAUGAUACGCGAGGAACCUUACCCGGGCUCAAACGGGGAGUGGCGCAGGCAGAGACGCCUGUUUCCCACGGGACACUCCCCGAGGUGCUGCAUGGUUGUCGUCAGCUCGUGCCGUGAGGUGUCGGCUUAAGUGCCAUAACGAGCGCAACCCCCGCGUGCAGUUGCUAACAGUCAACGCUGAGGACUCUGCACGGACUGCCGGCGCAAGCCGCGAGGAAGGCGGGGAUGACGUCAAAUCAGCACGGCCCUUACGUCCGGGGCGACACACGUGUUACAAUGGGUGGUACAGCGGGAAGCCAGGCGGCGACGCCGAGCGGAACCCGAAAUCCACUCUCAGUUCGGAUCGGAGUCUGCAACCCGACUCCGUGAAGCUGGAUUCGCUAGUAAUCGCGCAUCAGCCAUGGCGCGGUGAAUACGUUCCCGGGCCUUGCACACAACGCCCGUCA
rnacentral:rRNA from 1 species